rnacentral:rRNA from 1 species
UACGUAGGGUGCGAGCGUUAAUCGGAAUUACUGGGCGUAAAGCGUGCGCAGGCGGUUCGUUAUGUCCGUUGUGAAAGCCCCGGGCUCAACCUGGGAAUGGCAAUGGAAACUGGCGGGCUAGAGUGUGGCAGAGGGGGGUGGAAGUUCCGCGUGUAGCAGUGAAAUGCGUAGAGAUCGGGAGGAACAUCUGUGGCGAAGGCGACUGCCUGGACCAGCACUGACACUGAGGCACGAAAGCGUGGGGAGCAAACAGG